rnacentral:rRNA from 1 species
AUCUACGGCCAUACCACCCUGAACAAGCCUGAUCCCAUCUGAUCUCGGAAGCUAAGCAGUGUUGGGCCUGGUUAGUACUUGGAUGGGAGACCACCUAGGCAUAAAAAAAAAAUAAAUA